AGCGGCUACCAGGUUGUUUGAUCGACACUUGACCUCUGUGCACCUCGCCUUUCGUGUAGAAUAUAAAUGGGAGAAAUUUGUAAGUACUGGUGUCUCAGUGAAGCAGAUUUCAUAUACGAGUCUCGACUCUGAGUCAUUGUACAUCAGGAGUGACAACGAUAUCACGUCAUCAUGCGACACGUGCUGAUGGUUGUAGCGGUGCUGGUGGUGCUGUGUCAGCUGACUGCUGCUGCAGCGACUCGCGAUGACCAGGGUAAGCCCCUGUCACAAGACUUGCUACAUUCCAUAAAGAAGCGGGCGAGUUGGGUAGACACCAGACCUUCAAAACGACUACCGCCCCGACGACGACCGCCAGGUCAGCUGGUGAUGUGACCGACGACAGGCACUGAUCCUGCAGAAAGGUUCUUAGUCCCAAGACAUUUGUCUCUAGUCAUCGACAGUCGCAGGCUUUGUAGCUGCUGAUGUUAUGUUGUUGUGUUGUUGUACAGUUGAUGUGACAGCGUGUAAACCGUUUGCUGUCGUCAGCUUCUCACAGUACCAGAGAUAACAUGGACGAGCAAACAAUAUGUCGUUUGUACUCAACGUGAUGUUUGUUUACAGGCAUGCUGCUGUGACAAAUAAACAACCACAAUGAACAA